GCGUAGGGCGCAAGCGUUGUCCGGAAUUAUUGGGCGUAAAGAGCUCGUAGGCGGCUUGUCACGUCGGGUGUGAAAGCCCGGGGCUUAACCCCGGGUCUGCAUUCGAUACGGGCUAGCUAGAGUGUGGUAGGGGAGAUCGGAAUUCCUGGUGUAGCGGUGAAAUGCGCAGAUAUCAGGAGGAACACCGGUGGCGAAGGCGGAUCUCUGGGCCAUUACUGACGCUGAGGAGCGAAAGCAUGGGGAGCGAACAGG
rnacentral:rRNA from 1 species